rnacentral:rRNA from 1 species
CAGCCGCCGCGGUAAUACGUAGGGUGCAAGCGUUAAUCGGAAUUACUGGGCGUAAAGCGUGCGCAGGCGGUUUGUUAAGACAGAUGUGAAAUCCCCGGGCUCAACCUGGGAACUGCAUUUGUGACUGGCAAGCUAGAGUAUGGCAGAGGGGGGUGGAAUUCCGCGUGUAGCAGUGAAAUGCGUAGAUAUGCGGAGGAACACCGAUGGCGAAGGCAGCCCCCUGGGCCAAUACUGACGCUCAUGCACGAAAGCGUGGGGAGCAAACAGGAUUAGAUACCCCGUAGUCCCUGUCUCUUAUACA